GCAUACGAUCAGCAAUUCCUGGGUACAUGGUGGUUCCUCCGGAAAGAACAGUGUUGGCGUACAAGUCCUUACGGAUAUCAAUGUCGCACUUCAUGAUGGAGUUGUAAGAAGUCUCGUGGAUUCCGGCGGACUCCAUACCCAAGAAGGAUG
ensembl:ncRNA T04C12.26 ncRNA